rnacentral:piRNA from 1 species
UCCUCUAUUUGCCUCUGUGUUCUCCC